rnacentral:lncRNA from 1 species
CUAAUCAGUUGAACACUUCUCUUUAUCAUUGUGAGGUGGCAAGUAGAUGGAAAGAACCCAUUCUGGCGAGAAGGAAAGAAGGAGGAGUUGGAAAAGAAAGGAAGGAUCUGAGUGCUACCCACAAACAUUUCUGAUGGCUUUACUGUCCCCGUUAGGUGUCAAUUUUUCUUUUUCAUUUCCUUUUUUCUUCUUUGUUUUUCCUCCUGGGGGUCAUGGACCUUGCUCACCCUCUGCUUAGGACUUUGGGAGAAAGUGAAGCUGGGUUGGGCCGAGGUAUGCAGGGGAAGAGCUAGCCACAGCUUGAAACUGCAGGCAACUGGCUGUAAGAAAGUUGGGGAGGAUUUGGAAGUGCCUUUUGCCCAUGAUUUCAUUGAUGUUGUGGCACAGGGUUGGGAAGAAAAUGAGGAGGUACAAAGGAGUAUGGGGAGGUAAGUGAGGAAAUGGCAGGGGGUCAUGUCAGGUUGGAGAAUGCCCAGGUUAAGCCGGCCCCUUUGGAGGGAUUGGAACUUCCUUUGCCUAUGUUUCUACUUCGGAAAGCUUGACAAUGGGAACUUGAUAACUUCUUUCUAGUCAGCAGUUAGCUUUCUAUCAAUCACUGAGUUGGACACUAGUUGGACACUAGUCACUGGGCCAUUGCUUGGUGAAUAAGCACUGGACUAGAAAGUUCCGACUGGCUAUUUCACCUCUGAUCUGGAGUAGCAGAUGAACAACUAUUGUGAAUCUCUAUACUAAUCCUUUCUAUUUGUUUAGUGCAUGGUAAGUGUCAACAAGCUCACUGACCCUUCACGCUGUUGGACCCUCACAGGAGCCCUGUGAGCAAGAGAAAGUCAAGCACUUUGUCCCCAGUGUUCCAAGAAAAACGUGGAGCUUAUGUGCCAUGCUUGAGGACACUAGCUCUUCAACUUUACGCUACUCUGAACUGAAGAGUACCUUUUCUUUCCCUCCCCCUUGCAAAAGGGGGUCCUCCAGCAGAGUCUGCUUAUCUAUCAGACUGCCAACCACGUUCUACAGCACUGAAGCACCUCAGCAGGAAGAGGCUACUGACCAGCCAAUAAGAGAGAACCCAGCAGAUGGAGAGUGUGGGCCUUCCCACCCAGCCUGUAUGUGAACUUGCCAAGCAGCACCACCUUGAUGAAGGGCAUGAGAGAGUGAGCUUUGCCAAGCACUCAAUCCCUGUCCCCUCUUGCUCUCUAGGCAGCCUCUCCUGCAGCCCCUCACCUCUCCACCCACCCACCCCCUUUUAACUGCUUCUGUGUAGGUAUUUCUUUGUGUGUGUCUGCUUACUUAUGUUUAUUUGAUUUGAAUGGGCAGGAAAGAAUGUAUGCUUGAAAGGGUAUGCAUUUCUUUUUAGUGGAUUUUCUAGAACCACCAGAACUCCCAUGGCCUGUUCCCACAUUGGAUGAGCUGGUUAACUGUUUCUUUCUAAUCCCCCUGUUCCAGAGAGCAGGUUCUCCUGGUUCCCAUCCAUUCCUUACUCCUCUUUCCCUGCAUCUGUGCUGUGUUCUGGAUUGAAGGCCCAGGGGAAGCACAUGUAGUCCUAAGAAGUGGUAAUAUAGUGCCUUGAGGUAGGUAGUGCUCAAUUUGUGGGAUAAGCUAAGUGCUGAGCAUUUUGCUUGGUGCUAUAAGGGCAUGGUUUAGAGAAAAGAAAGUAGUCACAGGAUAUCUAAGAUUGCCUAUUUUUGAACAUCCCACACAGAGAGAUCCAGAUUGAAGGGAGAGCGAUGACCUCACAUGGUUAUUGGAACACUAGCUUCCUGGAGCCUAAACAUUGGUUGCUUGACUUGGAUUCGGUCUCCUGGAGGGGAUUCGAACCCUGUGGAGGGGAAGUAGUUCAUUGAGGUGAAGUCAUAAAGGGAAGUCAGAACAGGGGGGAAAAAUAAGACACAGCAAUGCAUAGGAAGACUUCACAGCACAGAGGAAGGACAAAGAGGCCAGUUGUAAAUACCCACAUACUAGAUAUAUUAGACCUUAAAGAGAAUAUCUUGCCCUAGUGUGCUGCAAUGAGAGCAGUUGAACUCUCCUGCUCCUCAUACUCCGUGAGGUUAAAUGUCAAGGUGAGGUGGAGAUUUGGCAAUGACACAGUUUCAGGAACUUGAACUUUCAGAGAUUACCAUGGUUUUGAUCCAAUUGCCAGCAAAAUUAUCCUGCAAAUUGCCAGAUCUCCCCUUGACAUGUUCUGUGUGUGGUCUGUGGUCAGCGUCCUUAUUGAGCCCCAUCCUCAUCCACCCCCACCCUCUUCCCUGAUGUGCAGGCACACCCCUCCAGUUGGCUGCCAAUGUCCCCUCCCAAAUGUCUCCCUAUACCAAGUAGCUCUAGAAUUGCACAUCAUCUGGCUGCAUGCUCCCAGAGUUCAGCUAAUCAAAGGGCCCUUGGUAGUUUGGAGCUUAGGCAGAGGGAAGGGUCUUGCUGAGUGUGAGAUGGAACAACCCCACUUUUUCCUCUGCUCACCUUUCCUUUUUUUCCCUCUCCUCGACUUUCCCCAUAGAAUCCCUCCCUCAGGAAGGACGCCCCUGUCUGUUUUUCCAAAUUGUUUUAUCGUGGGGAUCUCUGACAUGUUUCCUACCAAGUUUUAUGCCCAUCCCAUCUGCCACUGUGGGGUGCCUUUGCAGAGGUAACAGACAAUCUCUUGGGUCUUAGUGGAGCUUGUCCAAGUAUUCUUCUAAUUCUUGUCAUCUGGUUAAUAGCAAGGCUGCAAAAUCUUUGCAUAUUCAGAGCUGAAUUUUGCUGAGACUAUGCUCAUUCCUAAUGAGGAUUGCUCAGUCUGUAUAUACAACAGCUAACCCUUUGAGCUAUUAACUACUGAAUGCAUCCACUAAGUUCUCCCCUGCAUGAUACCCUGCUGUGGUGAUGUGCAGUAACUUCAUAUCUACUCAAAGCCCAGCAUCAAAGGAAAUUGUGACUUGUCGUACUGAAAGUACAGUGUGUGUUUGUUGUAUAAUGUCCUGUGAUCAAUAUGAAAUCUAUAUUAUCAGUGUUGGGUUUUCAGGGGGGAGGGAAGGGUGUUAAAGUAUUUUCCUGAAUACUUAAAUUAAGAAAUACUCCCAAACGGUCAGGGUCACCUCUAUGGACUCCAUUUGUUUGAGACUUUGCACCCACCAUUUUGCCAGGCUGCAUCCCCAGGGUCAGUUGUCAUCAGCAAGGCUUAAGGUGCCAGAAUUUAAUGCAACCAGCUCUCCUGUCUGACACCAGGCAGUCAGGGGAUUCUGCUGAAGGCAGCCAAGUCAGUGACAUGCUGGAAGUAUGAACUACAGUAAAAUUGUACAUACCAGGUCUUCAGACAGUAAAAACCAAGAAAAGAAGAGCAAGACUAUGACCAAGGUGUCCUGGAUUACCUGACCCACAAAAGGGCACAGAGAAGCAGAGCCUCUUAAGAUGAGUGGGAGCCUUCUUUGUCCUAAUUAAAUGUACAUUUUCCCAUGACCUUGACCAGUCCUGACUUUAAGAAAGUAAAACACAGAAAAGCAUAAAAUUAUACUUGUGAAAAAUAUAAUGGAAAAAAAUUUGUAAAUAGCAAAUAAAGAAAAA